GCGACUCUCGCACCUCUCGCACAUAGCGUCCAUUAUUUGUUCUCUCCUCCCCAGCUAGGGUUCACGACGCCGCCGCCGUCCGCGCUCGUGCUCUCUCUCUUCAUCUCCCAUCCCGAGCUGGACCUCCUCCAACCACAUCUCCCCUGAUCUUCUCGAUCGAUUUGGAUCUCAGGAGCGAACCGGAGGAAGGCCAGGUGCCCGUUGCCGAGACAGGGGCGAUGAGAAGUGGGUCGCCGCCGCCGCCGCCAUCCCGGCUCAAAGCGGCGACCCAAGGAGGAGCUCCGGACUCACAGGAGGAGCUCAAGCAGCGGCGGUGGUCCACAACGCCAUCAUGGUCUUCCUCUGCAGGAGCAGCGCGAGCCAUAGAGACGUCCUGCCCCAGCGUCGCCGCCCGUCCACCCGACGAACGAGAGAGGCAUCAAGGGGGAGAUGCACGGCAGAGAUGCACACGCUCUUCCCUGUGGGAUGACGGUGGUGUUCCUUCCUCCAACAAAAUUCCAGCCCCUUGAUACAUAGUCAGAUUCAGCCCCACACCAGCGAGUGCUUAUGGCGACGACGAUGACAAAGCAAGCUGACUGCUAUUUCCGGAGUAUUACUGGAUGAUGCUUUGUACAGCAGCAACACACACGUACACAACAGCCUCUGCUGAUCGAUUCUGUGGCCGGCCAAAAAACGCUGUGCAGGCCAACAAAAUCAAUUGGACUGCCACAGGGAUUGGGUCGAGCCGGCGACCAAGCAGGGAGAUUCCAAUCAUCUGAAUUUUUGAUGGAGUCCAUUGGAUGGAUCAAUGGAAGAAGAGGUAGAAAAGCGCCUAGUAAUUGAUACUGGUAGUUCCUUGGUGAACUUGCCAUCAAUGGCUUUCUUCUUCGAUAAAUGUAAGCCAUUGGAGGAAGGAGACGAAGAGGCUGGGAGUUAAUUUCCAGCGAAUUAAUCUGGGGAUUUGAUUUGCUGGUGGGCACUGAGGAACAGUUAAUUUCCAGCGAAUUAUUCUGGAGAAUUCGAUGCGUCUGGUAAUCUGCUUCGAGAGUUCUCCUUUGGGCUAUGAAAAAGAGACUAGUAGUUUGGUUGUGGGCCUCGGUGGGUAGUGGUUACACAGUUAGCUGCCAGUAGUACUAUUUCUUUCUCUUUAAAUCUCACGGUUCAUUUAUUUGUAUUCCCCCCGCUCAACUUUUUUAUCUAGUCCUCUCAUUAAUACAUGCUUAGACAAAUUAGAGGCCCCAAAAAUUUUGGGGCCCUGUGCAGCUGCUCCGGUUGCACAUGCAGAGAUACGGCCCUGCUUGGCAUCAAGACAAUUUAAGUAUAUUCAAUAAUGCAGGGGAUGUUAAAUCUACUGUUAUUUGUGAAUAGUACUCUUUUUUUUGCUAUGGUUCCAUUUGUGGUUUCUCAUGUAGCAAUGUCAUGGUUCGUUAAAUCUUUCACACACAAUGAAAUGUUUAGGAAACUCGAUCCAGUAAAGUGGAGUGUUAAUUUAUCUAAAUACGUUUAGUAAGUUCAUCAUGUAGCAAAUUUUGCCAUAAAAUUUGUCAUGAAAGUAUACUUUAUCGGCACUAUUUUCCUAUAUAUAUUAUUUCUGUGCUAGACAUUUUUCAGCUAACUAGAAAAAAAAUACAUCACCUGAAAAGACUACGUACGUAACUCAAUAGUUAAUCCAGUGCCACAUGUAGAAGUAGACUGGUUACAGAAUCUUUCCAACAAUCUGGCAAGUACUGCAUAUAUCUAACUUGUUACAGAAUGCAAAUGACGGAAGAACUCUGACAAGUGCACCUUGAUCCUUACUGAAGGAGAUUCAACAAAGGCUUUGGCUAUGGCGGAUGGGAUCACUAUGGUGUGUUUCCUCUCAGGGGUAAAUUUAAAUUAAAUGUGAGAGAAGCAAGCCAUAAGCAGUUAAUGGGGAAUGCAGAGAUCCAAAAUAUGAAGAAAAUAUUAGGUCUGCAACAUGAAAAGAAGUAUGAUAGCACGAAAGGCUUGAGAUAUGACCACCUUAUGAUAAUGACAGAUUAGGUUUGCCCGACAACUUUUUCAGGACAAUGCAUGAGAUAGCAUUUGCAUCUACUAAUAAGCCAAAGCUACUUAGCCAGAUUAGUGGUGUGUGGAUUAAGAUUUCAGCCAUGGGUGACUUUGCCUUCAUAGCUGGGGCAUAUGCUUUCGAAAUCUUUGUCCAUCGUUGAUUUAGCUGUGUAAUCCCUUUGCUGGACAGGAAAGCAUGAUCGCUUGGACAUCAUAAGCAAUUUGUGAUGCCGAGGAUCUUGUAGAGGAUUUAGGAAAGUGAAUUCCAACAUUAUUGAAGCAAAAUUGGUGAAGUUGAAUGAGGAUUGGAGAUGGCGUGUAACCUACUUACACAUAGAUGGAGACUCGGGAUGGCUGAUCUACACAGGCGUGGGCACCAUGUUUAUUACUCUUUGUUACCCAACAUAAUUUCCGUUUAUAAAUUUAGCUAGCGGCCGUGCACAUCUUGAGGUGUCCGUCAACUCCAAACACAAGCCCCAUUCCCCUGUAUGACUAAAUUCAGGUAUUCGUGAGGUGAAUAAGAUAUAUAAUGUUAAAACCUGUAGUUUUGUUAUCAAUGGUUUUGCAUUGUGUCUUGCUGCAAAUGAAUUAAUUGUUUUUUGCAUGUCUAAUUUUUACGAUGUGUUGAGGCCUUCAUAAUGUUAAUUUUGAAUUUAAGAACUGUGCUCUUAAGAUAUGUCCUUUAACCAUUUGUUUUCUUCUUUUGCCGAUUUCAAGAAAUAGUUCCUUUAAAUGUUGGAAAUGUUCUUGGUACUAAAGACAAUGUUGCAGCAAAGAAGUGGGUAUCACUUAUUGAUGACCAGGUGAUGAAUAUAUUGGUAGGGAUACAUGUAAUGGACCAUAUUUUUCACCAUUCCCAUAUGGCUAUGGACUUGAACACCUAUGGAAGAAGAAGAUGUGUAGCCAAAUACUUCUAGGUAUUAUCUGUUGGCAUGUUCCAUGAAAAUUCACAUAUGCAAAUGUUUCUGCUCAGUAGUCCUAGGCGCAUGUUUGAUCUUUGCUGGUCAACUUUUGUUAAUAUAGACUCUGAUUGUUCUGUAAAGAUAUGCCUUCCAUACCUCAUAACUACUUCACUCUCUUCUAGGAGUACUAUAUAUAUGCAUGUGAUAUUCACUAUACCUUUUCUCAUUGCCCAUUACUUCACGUGCAAUAUAACAUAUGUAAGUCAUCUAUCUACUGAUUCUGUUAUAUAAAGCUUUCCUUCUUGCUCUACUUAUUAUAGUAUGUACUUCCUGUCAUGAUUGCAGUAUGUAGCAGCCAAGGUGAUAUGCACGAGCCAAGGUGAUACUGAGGAACUUCUUAGUUCAUACCGAUUACAUGAGUAUAGAGGACAAGUUUGUUAAAUGUUCAUGUUUUGUUAUUGCCAGUGAGUUGAUAUGCAUGUGUUCUGAUGAUCCAACAAACACUGCCUCUUUUGGUGAUCACCCACCUUUUGGAGCAUGUUGAACUUUGAUUUCAAUCCAUGUCCGUGUCUUUAUGAUCAGUCAUUGACAUUGUGAGACUGUCACCUCUGUGUUAAUAUAGAGCUAUUAUUAGCUUACUCUGCUUUA